rnacentral:rRNA from 1 species
UGGGGGAAAAUUAAUAUAAUAAAAUAAAUAAUAAAAAUAAUUAUAAAAAAUAAUUAAUGGGGGUUAAAGUAUUUUUUAGAAAAAAUUUAUUAAUUUAUAGUUUAAUAGUAUUGUGAAAGAAUUUUGAAAUAAAGUUAAAUAUGGAUUAUUAUUUAAGUAAAUUUAAUUUAUUGUAUCUUGUGUAUCAGAGUUUAUUAAUAAAAAUAUUUUUAAAUAAAAAUAUCUCGAAUUUAAAAGAGAUAGUUAAUUAUUAAAGUUAAUGUGACAUAAUUAUUUUAAAUAAUUAAUUUGAAAUGAAAUGUUAAUCGUUUUUAAAAAUAUUUAGUUUUUUUAGAAAAAAAUUUAAUUUUAAAUUAAUUUAAUAAUUUUUUAAAUUUGUCAUAUAAAAUUAUAUAUUUAAUUAAAUAUUUUAAGGGAUAAGCUUUAAAUUAAAUUUUUAUAAUAUUAACAAAUUAUUUAAAUAUUUUAAAAUUUAUAUUUUUUAUAAAUUAUAAUUUUUUAUAAAUAAUUUUAUUUAUUUUAAAAUUUAAAUUUAUAUUUAAAUUUAUAUAAAAAAAUAAUUUUUAAUAAUAAAAAAUUAGUUAUAAUGAUAAAAUUAGUAUAUAAAAAAAAAAAAUAAAAUAAAAUUAAUUAAAAUUAAUAAAAAGGAAUUCGGCAAAAAU